rnacentral:rRNA from 1 species
GACGAACGCUGGCGGCGUGCUUAACACAUGCAAGUCGAACGGAAAGGCCCUGCUUUUGUGGGGUGCUCGAGUGGCGAACGGGUGAGAAACACGUGAGUCACCUGCCCUUGACUUUGGGAUAACUUCAGGAAACUGGGGAUAAUACCGGAUAGGAGCCCCUGCUGCAUGGUGGGGGUUGGAAAGUUUCGGCGGUGGGGGAUGGACUCGCGGCUUAUGCGCUUGUUGGUGGGGUAGUGGCUUACCAAGGCUUUGACGGGUAGCCGGCCUGAGGGGGUGACCGGCCACAUUGGGACUGAGAUACGGCCCGGACUCCUACGGGAGGCAGCAGUGGGGAAUAUUGCACAAUGGGCGGAAGCCUGAGGCAGCAACGCCGCGUGCGGGAUAACGGCCUUCGGGUUGUAAACCGCUUUCGCCUGUGAGGAAGCGUGAGUGACGGUAAUGGGUAAAGAAGCACCGGCUAACUACGUG